rnacentral:rRNA from 1 species
AGAGUUUGAUCUGGCUCAGGAUGAACGCUAGCGGCAGGCUUAAUACAUGCAAGUCGAGGGGCAGCGCAGUGUAGCAAUACAUGGGCGGCGACCGGCAAACGGGUGCGGAACACGUACGCAAUCUACCCAAAACUGAUGAAUAGCCCUCCGAAAGGAGGAUUAAUACAUCGUAACCUAAUGAAGUGGCAUCGCUUUAUUAGUAUAGCUCCGGCGGUUUUGGAUGAGCGUGCGCCUGAUUAGGUAGUUGGCGGGGUAACGGCCCACCAAGCCUGCGAUCAGUAACUGGUGUGAGAGCACGACCAGUCACACGGGCACUGAGACACGGGCCCGACUCCUACGGGAGGCAGCAGUAAGGAAUAUUGGUCAAUGGACGCAAGUCUGAACCAGCCAUGCCGCGUGAAGGAUGAAGGUCCUCUGGAUUGUAAACUUCUUUUAUAUGGGACGAAACCUCUUUUUCUAAGGAGACUGACGGUACCAUAGGAAUAAGCACCGGCUAACUCCGUGCCAGCAGCCGCGGUAAUACGGAGGGUGCAAGCGUUAUCCGGAUUCACUGGGUUUAAAGGGUGCGUAGGAGGGCAGGUAAGUCAGUGGUGAAAUCUUCGAGCUUAACUCGGAAACUGCCGUUGAUACUAUCUGUCUUGAAUACCGUGGAGAUGAGCGGAAUAUGUCAUGUAGCGGUGAAAUGCUUAGAUAUGACAUAGAACACCAAUUGCGAAGGCAGCUCGUUACACGAAUAUUGACUCUGAGGCACGAAAGCGUGGGGAUCAAACAGGAUUAGAUACCCUGGUAGUCC